rfam:Phlebia centrifuga strain FBCC195 PHLCENscaffold_2975, whole genome shotgun sequence.
CGCGAUAUAGUGUAAUGGUUAGCACGGGAGUCUCAUGAUCUGUUAGUUUAGGUUCAAAUCCUGAUGUCGCAA